GAUGAAGAACGCAGUGAAAUGCGAUAAGUAAUGUGAAUUGCAGAAUUCAGUGAAUCAUCGAAUCUUUGAACGCACAUUGCGCCCCUUGGUAUUCCGAGGGGCAUGCCUGUUCGAGCGUCAUUAUAACCCCUCAAGCUCAGCUUGGUGUUGGGGCCUGCUGCACUGGCAGCCCUUAAAAUCAGUGGCGGCGCCAUCUGGCUCUAAGCGUAGUAAUUCUUCUCGCUAUGGAGUCCUGGUGGAUGCUUGCCAUCAACCCCCAAUUUUUCUAUGGUUGACAUCGGAUCAGGUAGGGAUACCCGCUGAACUUAAGCAUAUCAAUAAGCGGAGGA
rnacentral:misc_RNA from 1 species